AAUUAUCUUUUAGAGAAUUUUAUAAAAGAAAAUCAACAGAAUUUUUAAUCUACCAAAAUUAAACAUAUGUAACAAGGAUGUGAAUACAACAAGCAAAAUUUAACGACAAAAAGUGGGUAAGGGAAUAGAGAUUAGCAGGAGGGUUACCAAACACAUUAAAUUUUUGUGCGGAUAAACAAAAGCAUAAACAUAGAGUAUAAAGGUCAUUAAGACAGACAUUAUGGAAUUAUGGGUGACGAAAAGGAUUGAGAAAGCCCAUACGCUCGAGAUGCAACCAGGCCGCAUUCAUACCGUCACGAUAUUCCCAAGCAGAAGCAGAAGAAAUACUUGUCAUCCUUUUUUGAGUCCAUGCACGAGGAAAUCCGAUCAUGGCCCCAUGCUGAAGAAACUCAAUGUAGUCCUCCCAGGCUUGAUUCCAUCCUUUAACAUAUAAAUCAUGUUCAUAUGGAUGAUCAUGUUGUUUCUGAUCCCAAUAAUAGCAAUGUCCACCAAAGUUUUGAUCCCGACUUUGUUCAAGUAAGGCCGGCAUGGCUUUGUUUUCGGUAGGGGGAGGAGGAGGGUAAUUGAUUACCUUGUCCUCUACAACAGAUCUAAAAUCCCAAUCUCCACCUUUUCCGUGAAGGAAUUUAUAAGUCCAAAAGAAGCAUCCUCCGCAAUAAUUCAAAUACUGGUUCAGUUGAGCUUCACCAAAGUCACGUCUUCUUUUAUCGUGGAGCUUUGUUUGGCUCCAUGAUUCUUGGCUUAAAGUACAACUCCAUUCGCCAAUAACUAUAUUGGAAAGUUUGGUUUUACCGUAUUCUUCACCAGUAUCAAGUCUUCUGGUUAUAAGCUUUGGGGGUGCAUGGCAUAAUUCGCCGCCAAAACAGAAAUAGCUAUGAUGAUCAACCACAUAGAAUCCUUCAGAUUCAUGAUCAUUCACCCAAUUCACCCAAUCUGUAUCCUGUUAGCAUUGAAAAUGAUAUGACUAUAUGGAAUUGACAUACGAUCUUUAUCCCAUCCAUCACCAAUAUAGACAGGAAGAUAGGAAGGAACAACAGAGCGAGCUUUUUGAUAGAAAUUAGCAAGAACAUCAUAUUGGCCCCAGAUCGGUUCAUUAAUUACUUGAAUACCAAUAACAUUUUCAAACUGACCAAUCUUCGACGAUAAAAAUUUAACGGCUUCCACUGUUCUGUCUUGAUAUUCUUGCUUUUCAUAAAAUUCUGCCUUUCCAGACGAUGUACCGGAAUGUCCGUCACAAUUUCCUCCUCCAUACACCCCAUGGAAGUCUAAAAGCACACCGAUCGAAAGGCUUCCUGCUUCUUGAAUUUUCUCACACAAGAUGUGUAGGCUAUUACGAUAUACUUCAGCAUAAGGCUCAAAUGGCGUUCCUUUAACCAAUUCAUCAUUUCCUAAUGACCAAUAUCCAAGAGGUAUUCGUACACUAUUAACUAAGUGCUGUUUCAUAUA